CGGCGCCCCGCCCCCUCGCCCCCUCUCCCUCCUCAGCGCGUGCGAGCCCCGCGAAAGGGCGGGCUCGGCCUCGCCGCCGUUGGGCGCGGGCGGCCCGGCUGCGGCUAUUGUUGCGGCGCCGGGCCGGGCCGGGCCGGGCCGCGGCGCGGGAAGCCGUUUAGCGAGGCCAGCGCCCCGCGGAGCGGCGGCGGCGCGGCGAGCCUUUUACCUCCCUUUCAGAGGGGCGCCGUCCCCUGCGGCCUAUGCGCUGCCCCGCGUCGUGCUUCGCGGCCGGGCGGGGAGGCCGCUCCGAGCUUGGCGGCUGGGCGGGGGGGGGCAGGGCCCUCACGGCUGCCCUUGCCAAAUGGCUCCUCGCCGGAGGAGGAAGCCGCCGCCGCCGCGGGAAGGGGCGCGGCUGCCUCGAGAGACCCAACCAGGAAAAGAAUCUGAAUGGUCAGACUCUAUGUCAUGUCUUAUGAAGAAACUGGAGGAAUUGAAUUUAGAUAUUGAAGAAGCUCUCAGUGCUGGCUCUUCUCCCUCCAGUACUCCUUCUGCCAAAAGGCACAAGCUACUGACUGAAAAAGCCCUUCAGACAUCCAAGAGCCAAUUUCACUACAAGAGAUGGAGAGGUCAUGUACCACAAAGGUUUUCCUGCCCAGACCAGCAACAUCAGGCCAAAAGAGUCAGGAACAAUCUGUUGUGGAACUGA
rnacentral:lncRNA from 1 species